UCCGACUUAACGUCGGCAGUCUCGCUAGAGUGCCCAACUUAAUGCUGGCAACUAACGACAGAGGUUGCGCUCGUUGCGGGACUUAACCCAACAUCUCACGACGCGAGCUGACGACAGCCAUGCACCACCUGUGCACCGGCCCCGAAGGGCUGCCGUAUUUCUACGACAUUCCGGUGCAUGUCAAGCCCUGGUAAGGUUCUUCGCGUUGCGUCGAAUUAAUCCGCAUGCUCCGCCGCUUGUGCGGGCCCCCGUCAAUUCCUUUGAGUUUUAGCCUUGCGGCCGUACUCCCCAGGCGGGGCACUUAAUGCGUUAGCUCCGGCACGGAGGGAGUCGACACCCCCCACACCUAGUGACCAUCGUUUACGGCGUGGACUAC
rnacentral:misc_RNA from 1 species